rnacentral:lncRNA from 1 species
CAAAUUGCAUCCACAAAACGGAGGAACUCUCAUCCAGAGUAGUGAAAUAAAUUCUCACCUGUCUCAUCCUCACGUGGGAGAAUGAGGAACUGUAACAUGAUUCAUUUCAUCAAGAGCAAUUUCCUGGAGCUAAACUCUUGUCGGUGAUAUAUACUUGCGUAAGAGGAAUUGCUUAAGUCCUUGCAGAAGACUGCUGUUCAUUCAUGAGGGGUCAGCUGUGAUCAGUUAUAUUAGGGGAAACAAACAGAAUCUCAUUAUGAGUAGAAACUUGCAACUACUACUUGCACAAUUUCCUUUCUGUGACUAGGAUUCUGGAUACUACAUUUUGCACAAAAUUAGCCAUUUUUACACAAAAGGCAAGUUUCUUCCACAUCUGAUUUUUUUUUAAUUCUUAAGUUCUUUCCAUCUCAAUCAUAAAUAAAUUGCCAAAUUUUGCGAAAUUGUCAUCAAAACCAGUAGAUUUUAGAUAAUUCUAAUUCAGCAGUGUGAUACUCAGUGUGAUGCAGUGGAGUGAGAGUAAUUACUACUUCCCCCGGGAAAAGGCAGCAGCCGGCACGUCAGACAAAAGCAUCCCUGCCCUUCCCUUCCUGCCGUGGGCACACAAAGACCGCCCAAGCACUCCGGCCAAACAACAGCAGGAGCAGCAGCAGCAGCGGUGGCGGGCGAGCGAGCAGAAUUCCAAUUUCAAGAGGAUGAAGCAACAUACAGUAGCACGAGUCAAACAGCAGCAUCAGUUUAUGAAGAUAUUAGAGCUUUGAUCUGCUUCCUUAUCAGUCGACUACAAGAAACAGGAAGAUACACAAAAGCGAUCUGCCACAGAGAAAAGGAAGGCUGUACAAAGCCACUUGUCAAUAUUGACAUGACAUGAAGAUAAUGCCUUCUUUAUGUUAAAAUAAUUGUUCAAAUUACCUGAUGAGAAACAUCCUUUUCUAUUAAACCAGUAGUUUUCUCCCUAAAUUUUCCAUUUCUUCAUUUAUCUCAUUACUUGACUAGUAUCGCGCAACAUAUUUUAAAACUAGUUAUAAGUAUAGGGUGGGAGUGGUUCUUACUUCAAAGACAACACGUAAAGUUGGGAAGUCUAGUUCUUCACUCCAUAAACGUGUGCUGACAAAAAUUGUACCACCAGCACACAUGGCAGCAGCAUCUUUUCAUUGUGGGAAUGUUUUUCUAGGGCUCAAAGCUAUGUGUGGGGAAGACGUUUGUUUGCUUGUUUGUUUCUAAAGUUAUUGUAAAGGGCACACACAUUCAAAAGCCAC